AAUUGAUUGAGCUCAACAUUCUGAACAUGUUUGCUGCUGUCAUGGUUUUCUCUAUUUAUAACAGUUGUCCAAAUAAUAGACACAACUUGCAUUUUACCCCCACCAAAUGUCCCAUUUUUAGCAAGUCGGCCAUCUUGGUUUGCAGGCAAUGUCAUAGGACACAUUUUGGUCCAGCCUGCAACUUUUGUUGCAGAAAGCUCGACAUAGGGAUAGUGUUCCGGCGGCGGCAGCGUUAGCUAACUUCUUAAAAGCUUUAUAUUUUAGAAGGUGGAAGACCUGGAUGCUUCAUACUUUGUAUAUAGAUGCC
rnacentral:lncRNA from 1 species